rnacentral:lncRNA from 1 species
AUUGGUUUAAAUUUCUCUGCUUUUUUAAAUUUAAAAAACAGUUUCAAACGGUAACGACCUUUUUGGGAGGCUUUUUUAACGAUGUUGCAAGCUGAGGUCCCUUGCUUAAUUAAGCUGAGGUACCUCGCGCAUCCGAAUACAAUUAUGACUUAUGAGUCGGGUGGGUGCGUGGGGUGAUGGAAAGAACAAGGUGGUUACCUUGCUUAAGUUUGCUUUGGAACUAACCUUGCUGAUACGUAGUGCGUGAGGGCAAUCGUGUAGGGCAGAUUGUUCUCUCCUCUUUUCUUUUCUUUUGUUAUUUCUUUCCCUUCAUGCACGAAAAGUACACUAUUAGGAAA